GAUGAACGCUGGCGGCGUGCCUAAUACAUGCAAGUCGAGCGGACAGACGAGGAGCUUGCUCCUCUGACGUUAGCGGCGGACGGGUGAGUAACACGUGGAUAACCUACCUAUAAGACUGGGAUAACUUCGGGAAACCGGAGCUAAUACCGGAUAAUAUAUUGAACCGCAUGGUUCAAUAGUGAAAGACGGUUUUGCUGUCACUUAUAGAUGGAUCCGCGCCGCAUUAGCUAGUUGGUAAGGUAACGGCUUACCAAGGCAACGAUGCGUAGCCGACCUGAGAGGGUGAUCGGCCACACUGGAACUGAGACACGGUCCAGACUCCUACGGGAGGCAGCAGUAGGGAAUCUUCCGCAAUGGGCGAAAGCCUGACGGAGCAACGCCGCGUGAAUGAUGAAGGUCUUCGGAUCGUAAAACUCUGUUAUUAGGGAAGAACAAAUGUGUAAGUAACUAUGCACGUCUUGACGGUACCUAAUCAGAAAGCCACGGCUAACUACGUG
rnacentral:rRNA from 1 species